UACGGAGGGGGCUAGCGUUGUUCGGAAUUACUGGGCGUAAAGCGCACGUAGGCGGUUAUUCAAGUCAGAGGUGAAAGCCUGGAGCUCAACUCCAGAACUGCCUUUGAAACUAGAUAACUAGAAUCAUGGAGAGGUGAGUGGAAUUCCGAGUGUAGAGGUGAAAUUCGUAGAUAUUCGGAAGAACACCAGUGGCGAAGGCGGCUCACUGGACAUGUAUUGACGCUGAGGUGCGAAAGCGUGGGGAGCAAACAGG
rnacentral:rRNA from 1 species